CGGCUUGGCGGCAGCUACACAUGCAGUCGAGCGGUAACAGGAGAAAGCUUGCUUUCUUGCUGACGAGCGGCGGACGGGUGAGUAAUGUAUGGGGAUCUGCCCGAUAGAGGGGGAUAACUACUGGAAACGGUAGCUAAUACCGCAUGACGUCUACGGACCAAAGCAGGGGCUCUUCGGACCUUGCGCUAUCGGAUGAACCCAUAUGGUAUUAGGCUAUGGUUAGGUGCAGGUCACUGGCCUCUCAACUCCUUAGGGCGACGCAUCUCUAGCUGAGUUCUGAGACCGGACUGAUCAGGCUACACUGGGACCUCGAGACACUGUCCCAGACUCGUACGGGUAGGCAGCAGUGUUGACUCUUGCACCCACUGGGCGCAGGCUUGAUGCAGGCAUGCCGCGUGUACUGAAGAAGUCCUUAGGGUUGUUAAGUACUUUCAGCGGGGAGGAAGGUGAUAAAGCUUAAUACCUUUAUCAAUUGACGUUACCCGCAGAAGAAGCACCGGCUUACUCCGUGCCAGCAGCCGCGGUAAUACGGAGGGUGCAAGCGUUAAUCGGAAUUACUGGGCGUAAAGCGCACGCAGGCGGUCGAUUAAGUCAGAUGUGAAAGCCCCCGAGCUUAACUUGGGAAUUGCCUCUGAUACUGGUUUGCUCGAGUCUUGUAGAGGGGGGUAGAAUUCUACGUGUAGCGGUGAAAUGCGUAUAGAUGUGGGGGAGAUACCGGUGGGGUAAGUCGGCUCCCCUGUGCUCCAAAAGAUUUUCGCUCAUGGUGCGAUCAUUUUUGGGAGCAAGGCAGGCAUUAGAUCCCCCCUGGUUUUCCCUCGCUAUUAUUUACGUUGUCGACUUGGAGUGUUGUUGGUCUUGAUCCGCGGCUUCACGGAGCUAUCUGCGUUAACAUCUACCGCCUGGGGAGUUCCGAGGUCGCAAGGUGGUGGACAUUCAGAUGUAUAUGACGGGGAGCCCGCAGACGCGGUGUUAGCAUGUGGUUUAUAUUCUAGAUGCAGCGCGAAGCACUCUUUACCUACUCUGUGGACAUCGGAGAGAAUCCUUUAGAGAUAGCUUGAGUGGCUUCGGGAACUAUAGAGACAGGUGCUGCAUGUCUGUCGUUAGCUGGUGUUGUGAAAUGUUGGGUUAACUCCCGCACGCUAGCGCAACCCUUAUCCUGUUGUUGCCAGCUGCGUGACUUAGGAUGGGAACUCAAAGGAGACUGCCGGUGAUAACCUCGGUGGAAGUGUGGGGAUGACGUCAAGUCAUCAUGGCCCUUACGAGUAGGGCUACACACGUGCUACAAUGGCAGAUACAAAGAGAAGCGACCUCGCGAGAGCAAGCGGAACUCAUAAAGUCUGUCGUAGUCCGGAUUGGAGUCUGCAACUCGACUCCAUGAAGUCGGAAUCGCUAGUAAUCGUAGAUCAGAAUGCUACGGUGAAUACGUUCCCGGGCCUUGUACACACCGCCCGUCACACCAUGGGAGUGGGUUGCAAAAGAAGUAGGUAGCUUAACCUUCGGGAGGGCGCUUACCAACUUGAUGCGUGU
rnacentral:rRNA from 1 species